GGCUUCAUUGCUCAUUUGGUUAGAGCGUUACACCGGUAUCGCGAGGUCACGGGUUCAAACCCCGUUGAAGUCC
rnacentral:tRNA from 1 species